ACGUAGGGGGCAAGCGUUGUCCGGAAUGAUUGGGCGUAAAGGGCGCGUAGGCGGCCUGGUAAGUCUGGAGUGAAAGUCCUGCUUUUAAGGUGGGAAUUGCUUUGGAUACUGUCGGGCUUGAGUCCCGGAGAGGUGAGUGGAAUUCCCGGUGUAGGAGUGAAAUGCUGUGAUACCUGGGGGAACACCUGUGGCGAAGGCGACUCACCAGGAUGGAACUGACAGUGAGGAACGAAAGUUGGGGGAGCAAACAG
rnacentral:rRNA from 1 species